GAUGAACGCUGGCGGCGUGCCCAAUACAUGCAAGUCGAGCGAAUGGAUUAAGAGCUUGCUCUUAUGAAGUUAGCGGCGGACGGGUGAGUAACACGUGGGUAACCUGCCCAUAAGACUGGGAUAACUCCGGGAAACCGGGGCUAAUACCGGAUAACAUUUUGAACCGCAUGGUUCGAAAUUGAAAGGCGGCUUCGGCUGUCACUUAUGGAUGGACCCGCGUCGCAUUAGCUAGUUGGUGAGGUAACGGCUCACCAAGGCAACGAUGCGUAGCCGACCUGGGAGGGUGAUCGGCCACACUGGGACUGAGACACGGCCCAGACUCCUACGGGAGGCAGCAGUAGGGAAUCUUCCGCAAUGGACGAAAGUCUGACGGAGCAACGCCGCGUGAGUGAGGAAGGCUUUCGGGUUGUAAAACUCUGUUGUUAGGGAAGAACAAGUGCUAGUUGAAUAAGCUGGCACCUUGACGGUACCUAACCAGAAAGCCACGGCUAACUACGUGCCAGCAGCCGCAGUAA
rnacentral:rRNA from 1 species